UGGGGAAUAUUGCACAAUGGAGGGAACUCUGAUUCAGCAACGCCGCGUGCGGGAUGACGGCCUUCGGGUUGUAAACCGCUUUCAGCCAUGACGAAGCUUUUGUGACGGUAGUGGUAGAAGAAGCACCGGCUAACUACGUGCCAGCAGCCGCGGUGAUACGUAGGGUGCUAGCGUUGUCCGGAAUUAUUGGGCGUAAAGAGCUUGUAGGCGGUUUGUCGCGUCGAUAGUGUAAACACGCAGCUUAACUGUGUGCCUGCUGUCGAUACGGGCUGACUAGAGGAGGGUAGGGGAGAAUGGAAUUCCCGGUGGAGCGGUGGAAUGCGCAGAUAUCGGGAGGAACACCAGUGGCGAAGGCGGUUCUCUGGACCUUUCCUGACGCUGAGAAGCGAAAGCGUGGGUAGCAAACAGG
rnacentral:rRNA from 1 species